UUACAUCGAUAGAGACAUAAGUCCAUAAAAAAAAAACCGGUCGCCGAGGGCAAUGUCACACACGUCUACCGACAUGCUUUAGACUUUGUGAUUUAAAGCGACGAAAGGAAUUUCAGAAAUGUAUUCGUAUACGAAAGUAUACCGAAGCAUAUUCUUCGAACAUCGAUACAGUGAAAUUUAUGUCUAAUCUGUGCCGGAUUUUUUUUUCCUUCAGUCUCCGCACACGUGCACUCUUAUCUGAACUUAUCCAUCCUGAUAGCUGUAAACCGCGAAUCGCUGGAUGACGGCAGCUUUCUCGUAUUACAAUUAGCGAAAAUGUGCCAUCGCAAAGUGAUCGCAAAUCAAUAGCGCGACAUUUGUCGGUUUAUUUCGAGCGGGAGCUUCUAUCAGGUAUAGAAUUUCUAACUCGGCCGCAAAGAUAUGCGGCGUAGAGAGUUGCGAUGACUAUUCACGAUAUCUCGGCCAAGAAAAAUCCUAUCGGAAAGAGAUGCGACUGAAAUAAUAUAUCCGGGCAAUUCGGGGACACGCUGUAUAAAUCAUAAUAUGAUAAGAAAAAUGCGAAUGCAUUGCAGUCUCCCGCAAGGACAGGCCGGGUAUGCGAUGAAAACGCGAAAUUACCACUUUAGCGCGGGCUGCGAUUGAAGGGUCGGACGUGACGCGUCAACAGCCGUGAGAUAACUCGAUCGUUGCGUACAAAACUUUAUUUCCUGCGUCCUUCUAUAUAUGAAUAUUAUAGAAUACUAUUAUAAAAAUUUAUAAAAAAA